GGCUGGCUCGAUGGUAGUGGGUUUUCACAACUUAUAACAAUUGAUGUCACUGAAGUUGAUAUACAGCCCCCCACUGCUAAAUUUGAUUGGUUUAAA
rnacentral:Y_RNA from 1 species